rnacentral:sRNA from 1 species
GUCAACGUAAAGACAAUCACAUCUAAUUCCGGAAUGCAAAUCCGACCUUUUUAUUAAAGUAUCACGCCAUGACAGAAAUCUAACCAAUUCUAUUACUUUCAAACUCAAAUAAAGGGUUGUAACUAAACCUCCUAGAAUACCAAAAAUUCUCGUGCUCAACACCACUUUACUUUUUUAAAAGGACUGUCACUACCCCUGACAAGCCCCCCACUACUUAUUGAAACUAUUUUACCCCCUAUAUGAGAGUCUUAGCCCCCUAGGCCUGGACUUAAAUCCUUUACCCGAUUAACAAUCAGAUGUUUUCUUAUAAACUAAAACCCAAAACAUUAAAACACUCCAGCUUUAUGUAAUGCCUAACGCGACAGGCCAGUGCCUUUGCCGGUAGCACUAUCUCGUAGAGGCUCAAGACGUAGUCAAUCCCAAAUAUCCGCAGAAUUUAAAACCUGAAUGAAUAGAAAAUUACCCACGUUUGCGAAACUAGUGAUAAAACACACAAUAGGCAUAUUUCUAUGCCCCACACCGCAAACGUGGGUAAUUUUCUAUUCAUUCAGGGUUU